rnacentral:rRNA from 1 species
UGGGGAAUUUUGGACAAUGGGCGCAAGCCUGAUCCAGCCAUGCCGCGUGCGGGAAGAAGGCCUUCGGGUUGUAAACCGCUUUUGUCAGGGAAGAAAUCUUCUGAGUUAAUACCUCGGGAGGAUGACGGUACCUGAAGAAUAAGCACCGGCUAACUACGUGCCAGCAGCCGCGGUAAUACGUAGGGUGCAAGCGUUAAUCGGAAUUACUGGGCGUAAAGCGUGCGCAGGCGGUUUUGUAAGACAGAGGUGAAAUCCCCGGGCUCAACCUGGGAACUGCCUUUGUGACUACAAGGCUUGAGUGCGGCAGAGGGGGACGGAAUUCCGCGUGUAGCAGUGAAAUGCGUAGAUAUGCGGAGGAACACCGAUGGCGAAGGCAAUCCCCUGGGCCUGCACUGACGCUCAUGCACGAAAGCGUGGGGAGCAAAACAGGAUUAGAUACCCUGGUAGUCCACGCCCUAAACGAUGUCAACUGGUUGUUGGGAAGGUUCCUUCUCAGUAACGUAGCUAACGCGUGAAGUUGACCGCCUGGGGAGUACGGCCGCAAGGUUGAAACUCAAAUGAAUUGACGGGGU